rnacentral:misc_RNA from 1 species
GAUGAAGAACGUAGCGAAAUGCGAUAAGUAAUGUGAAUUGCAGAAUUCAGUGAAUCAUCGAAUCUUUGAACGCACAUUGCGCCCGUCAGUAUUCUGGCGGGCAUGCCUGUUCGAGCGUCAUUUCAACCAUCAAGCCCCCGGCUUGUGUUGGGGACCUGCGGCUGCCGCAGGCCCUGAAAACCAGUGGCGGGCUCGCUAGUCACUCCGAGCGUAGUAAUACAUCUCGCUCAGGGCGUGCUGUGGGUUCCGGCCGUUAAAAAGCCUUAUUUACCCAAGGUUGACCUCGGAUCAGGUAGGAAGACCCGCUGAACUUAAGCAUAUCAAUAAGCGGAGGA